rnacentral:rRNA from 1 species
CGAUGAACGCUGGCGGCGUGCUUAACACAUGCAAGUCGAACGAUGAUCCGGUGCUUGCACCGGGGAUUAGUGGCGAACGGGUGAGUAACACGUGAGUAACCUGCCCUUAACUCUGGGAUAAGCCUGGGAAACUGGGUCUAAUACCGGAUAUGACUGAUCAUCGCAUGGUGGUUGGUGGAAAGCUUUUUGUGGUUUUGGAUGGACUCGCGGCCUAUCAGCUUGUUGGUGAGGUAAUGGCUUACCAAGGCGACGACGGGUAGCCGGCCUGAGAGGGUGACCGGCCACACUGGGACUGAGACACGGCCCAGACUCCUACGGGAGGCAGCAGUGGGGAAUAUUGCACAAUGGGCGCAAGCCUGAUGCAGCGACGCCGCGUGAGGGAUGACGGCCUUCGGGUUGUAAACCUCUUUCAGUAGGGAAGAAGCGAAAGUGACGGUACCUGCAGAAGAAGCGCCGGCUAACUACGUGCCAGCAGCCGCGGUAAUACGUAGGGCGCAAGCGUUAUCCGGAAUUAUUGGGCGUAAAGAGCUCGUAGGCGGUUUGUCGCGUCUGCCGUGAAAGUCCGGGGCUCAACUCCGGAUCUGCGGUGGGUACGGGCAGACUAGAGUGAUGUAGGGGGAGACUGGAAUUCCUGGUG